UCAGUUAUAACAAAACUCUUACUCAUCAUCUUCACACAUUUGCUUUUCAGCUGCAGAGUGCUUUUAAUGUGCUAAAUGCCUUCAACUCACUGACUAUGCAAGGCAGCCUUUACACAGGCACAAAUACCUACGCUCACAACUUCACAGUCUCUCUUAGUUCUGUGUUUGCCACCCCCAAAGUUCAAAGCAUAAUUUCUACACUGUUGACAGAUCCAACCAUUUACAGUCUCAGUCUCAAGUCACUAGGCAUGGUAUACAUGGAGGCACCUACAGGAAAAGUGUGUUACAAUUCAAGACAACAGCUGAACUGUACCAGUAUAGAGGCUAUGAGCAAGUGCGUGUGGCAGAUGUUCAGAGAUAAUGAAGCAGAAUUGACUCUGGGACCAGGGAGUGAAUUACAGCUGUCAGAUACUUGUACAGAACUUUCAACAAUCACACUUCUAAAGACAAAUGGAUACUGGUCAGGAACGUACAUCUGCCUUUUUGUCACUGGGAACAUAGCUCACAUGGCCAUGGCACCUAUUCAAAUUGCACUUCUGCCAGAGGUCAUUAAUGUGACAAGCAAUCCACAAACUGCAGAUUGUUCUGCAUCAACAUCCACCAAAGUUAGCAUCUUAUGUUCCAUCGAAAACAGUAUUGAAACCUACAGGGCCAUGCUAAAACUCGGAAUUGUUGAAAUUGCACCAGUUAAAGAAGGUAAGGCUAUAAUUAUCUUAUAAAUCUCUCUUUCGAUGCAAUGUGAAGCU
rnacentral:lncRNA from 1 species